rnacentral:rRNA from 1 species
AACGAACGCUGGCGGCAGGCUUAACACAUGCAAGUCGAGAGGUAGAAGUCUUCGGACUUUGAGACCGGCGCACGGGUGCGUAACGCGUAUGCAAUCUACCUUUUACAGAGGGAUAGCCCAGAGAAAUUUGGAUUAAUACCUCAUAGUAUAAUGACCUGGCAUCAGGAUGUUAUUAAAGUCACAACGGUAAAAGAUGAGCA